rnacentral:rRNA from 1 species
GACGAACGCUGGCGGCGUGCCUAAUACAUGCAAGUUGAGCGCUGAAGGUUGGUACUUGUACCGACUGGAUGAGCAGCGAACGGGUGAGUAACGCGUGGGGAAUCUGCCUUUGAGCGGGGGACAACAUUUGGAAACGAAUGCUAAUACCGCAUAAAAACUUUAAACACAAGUUUUAAGUUUGAAAGAUGCAAUUGCAUCACUCAAAGAUGAUCCCGCGUUGUAUUAGCUAGUUGGUGAGGUAAAGGCUCACCAAGGCGAUGAUACAUAGCCGACCUGAGAGGGUGAUCGGCCACAUUGGGACUGAGACACGGCCCAAACUCCUACGGGAGGCAGCAGUAGGGAAUCUUCGGCAAUGGACGAAAGUCUGACCGAGCAACGCCGCGUGAGUGAAGAAGGUUUUCGGAUCGUAAAACUCUGUUGGUAGAGAAGAACGUUGGUGAGAGUGGAAAGCUCAUCAAGUGACGGUAACUACCCAGAAAGGGACGGCUAACUACGUGCCAGCAGCCGCGGUAA